rnacentral:lncRNA from 1 species
AAUAGGUGAAGGGUGGGGACCAAUCAGAGGAAAACAUGCCAAAUGGGAAGACAAGUUCCCAAUCUGGUCAGAGGAUUUAACUUGCAGCUUGGCUUUCAGGCUUUAAACUGUCUUCGGCUUGAAGGUGGGGUUUUGCCAUGGGCCCACCCCUAUCUGCCUAGGCAUUUGUCUGCCUCUAUCAAUGUCAGAAUGAAGACUGGGAGACCUGCUGCUCCUUCCAUUGUGACAGCAUCCAUGAAACAGAAUGGCAUGGAGAGCAUCAGCACCCUGCAUAAAGGACAGCAUCCCUCUUCAUCAGCAGUGUCUAACCAUUCAUUCACCCAGGAAAAACUUACUGCACACCUACCUUCUCCUCAGAACUAGAAAACGAUGAUGAAUCAGACCUGGUUCCUCCACUGUAGUGAACAGAAAGGCCCAUCUGUCUCCCGCCUCCUAGAAUAGACACUAGGCUUCCAGCGGCUUGACUGUCAUUGUUACUGUCUAUGGAAUGAAUCUUACUCUGGAAGGAGAUUGGACUUUGGAACAGGCUGACCUGAAUUCAGAUCCCAGCUCCACCACUGACAAACUGUGUAACCACUGGCAAUGAAUACAACCUCUCUCAGCCUCCGGUUCCCUAUCAAAAACACCGUGGUAAUACUGUUAUCUUCAGAAAGUUGUUGAGAAGAUUAAAUAAAAUUGUGUUAAUAAACCAAAG